ensembl:lncRNA
GAAGGAAGUGGGCCCCUUCUCCUUUACUCCAGACUCACCAUGUGAUCCACCGGCAAGAGAGGGCACCAGGGAAGGCAUCCUCUAUAAGAUAAGUCUUAUAAAAUACAUAGAUUUAUGAUAAUUAAGACUGAGCUAACAGAUGAGAAAUCCUAGUCAUUGGCCAAGCAGCAUUUGUACCUAAUAGAAGUCUCUGUGUAUUAUUUGGGGCCCUAACUCGGCAGGCAGAACUCCGGCGGCUGGCAGAAAGCGCCCAUGUGGUGGUAGGACUCUGGUGGCUUUUGGCGGAAAGAUUUAUCGUAACAGAGGCUCUUGUCUCCCUCACUGGAAUUUAAAAGGGUUUCUCUGCAUAGCUCCAGCUGUCCUGGAACUAGCUCUGUAGACCAGGCUGGCCUCGAACUCAAAGAGGCCAGAAGAAGGCAUUGGGUCCCAGGAACUGGAAUUACAGAUGGUGCGAGCUGCUGUUGCUGUGUAGGUGCUGGGGCUCGAACCCUGGUCCUCUUUAAAGAAUCUGGCAGAGUGAAGUGGAAUGGGCCAAGGCUGUACACCCCCGAUGCCUGCUCUCAAUGACAUGCUUCCUCCAGCAAGGCUGUGUGUAUCCUGAUGGUUAGGAAGUACAUAACCUCCCCCACAGUGUCACCAGCUGGGGAAACAAAUGUUCAAAUACAUGAGCCUGUGGGGGACAUUUUCAUUCAAACCACCAUAAUCAGCUGCCUCUGUCUGUCUUGAUAUGUGUAUAUUGAAAGUUGCUUAUGUCAAAGGUGAAAGAGAGGUUUAGUAGAUGGAAAUAUUUAUUUAUGCAAAGCUCUGUUUACUUUUCAGUAUGGAUCUAAUUAGGGAAGCCAGUGCAAAGGUACCGUGUGGCAAUGCAUGUAUGUACCUGUGUUUGGUAGUGUGUGUGUGUGUGUGUGUGUGUGCGCGUGCACGCAUGAGCAUGUGUAAAUAGAGCUGAGUUAGCCAGGCGUUGGUGGCACACUCCUUUAAUCCCAGCGCUCGGGAGGCAUAGGCAGGCGGACCUCAGUGAGUUUAAGACCAGCCUGGUCUACAAGAGAAAGUUCCAGGACAGCCUCCAAAGCCACAGAGAAACCCUGACUCCAAAAACCAAAAGAAAAAAAAGCUGAGUCCAAGAGCCAAGAGAGGCACCCAGGAAAGCUGCAACUGUGCAGGGAGAAGAAAUACCUGAUUCUGGACUUGGAGGGGCUGAUAUUGCAUGGACUCUGUCUGAGUGAGGCCCCUAACCAUCUGUACUGCCCAUCUGAACAGGGCUCCUGAACCCCCUAUGAGAAUACUUCUUGAAGAAGUAAACGACCUUGUGUUUCUAGUGCUUUCUGUCAUCCUGUGUGUGUGUGUGUGUGUGUGUGUGUGUGUGUGUGUGUGUUGUGUUUUCUUGUGUUUGUAUAGGUGUGUGUAUGUGUGUGCAUAUGUGUUCAUGUGUGUCAAGGCCAGAGAGAUAACAUUAAGUAACUUCCCCUAUUGCUCUCUAUUUUAUUUAUUUUUUAAAGGUUUGUUCAUUUUUAUUCUAUGUGUAUGAGUGUUUUGCCUGCAUCUAUGUCUUUGCAUCACAUGUAUACUGAAGCCCAUGGAGGCCAGAGGAGGGCAUCAGAUCCCCUGGAACUGGAGUCACAGACAGUUGUGAGCUGCCAUGGGGGUGCUGGAUUCUUAAACUGGGUCCCCUGCAAGAGCUAAGUAAGUUCUCUUCACCCCCGAGCCAGCUCUCUAGCCCCCUUAUUUAUUUAUUAUUUAUAAGACAGGCCCUCACUGUGCAGUUUUUGUUGGCCUAGAACUUGCUGUACAGACCACUCUGGCCUUGAACACACUGAGAUCUGUCUCCGAAGCAGGGAUUAAAUGUGUGCCUCCCACCCAGCUCCACCUAAGCUGUUUGAGACAGGGUCUUUUGGUGAAUCUGGAGGUCAUCACCCUGGAGCUUGCUGGCUGGCCCCUGUCUCCACCUCUCUAGCCCUGGGGUUAUGGCUGUGUGCUGGCAACACUGGGCUUUCACAUGGGCAUCGGGGGUUAAAACCAGGUCCUGAUGAUUGUGCUGGAGCACUUUGUCCCAGAGACAUCUCCCCAGCCUCCCAUUAGCAGUCCCAACCCAAAGCUUAGUCCAUGGUACCCACUAGGCAGAUGGAGACAACUUUUGCCCCAGAUUGCCCAGUGCUACGGAGACAUUAGAUCUUUAGGAGUUACUUGUCCCCAUCCCUCCAUGGCAAUAGUACCGGGGCCCCGACUUUCCUCCCCCCAAUCCUUUCCGUGGCUUCUGGCUUCUGCCGUGAUGUCCCUUUGCCUAGGCUGGCUCCACCGGGAACCCGUUGACUGUGGAGGUGGUUCUGCAAACCCCAAACUAAGAGCCUGUUUUGACACGGCUGGGAGCAAAGCUGAGAGCAAGUCUCCAGAGCGGCAAUUGCUUCAUUCAGUUCUGGGAUGCCCCCCACACACCUAAAGUGAAGCGAUGAGCCCCUCCUCCCAGCUACCCAGCAAGCAGCCAUUUAUUCCCAAUUGCUCCCCACAGUAUAGGUCAAUUAGAGAGGAAGCCAGCAGGACUGGGGGCACGGGCAAUUCUUUUGAGGGCAGGAGACCCCUGGGCUGCCUAGUCACAGGCACCCCCUCCAUUCACAUGCUAUGUAGGAAUGCAAACUCCCAGAAAGGGAGUGGGGAUUCUGUCCAAUGCAGAGCCACGGAGUAAAUGGCCCUGGUCCUGGACACUUCCCAAGUGAGAUUUACAGUUCUGGCUCACUCUGCUCAGGCAGAAACAGCCACUUCAGCCAUAUCAGGAAUGGCCUCUUAUUGUUGACUUCCCUUUGGGGAUACGUUUUUCACAGCUAGCUAAUGCUUUUGUUUCAAGGUAGGAGGGGUUCUCAGUCUUUCCCUUCUGAAUUGUGGUUGGAUUUCUCUUUAAUCAUUUAUUUCCAAGUUCUUUUUGUAGGGCAUAUCACUGUAAUUAGCAGCCAAUGCUACAUUUCCACGGUUGCCUUACUUUCCAUGUGCUCCAUAGUCUCCAUGAAGUCCACCAUCCCAGCCGGGCCCAUCACGGUCUUCAUGCCUCUUAGAUAGAAGCCAUUUUGCACCCCACCCCAAUAAAUCUCUGGUAUAAGGUCCAUUUCAAGGUGUGAUUUUUUUUUUUUUUUUUGUGAUAUUCCUUAGCCUUCGAUCGUUGAGAUACUCUUGUUGCAAACCGUUUCAUUUUCUCUUGUGAUUUCAUAGUAUUUCGUUUCCUUUCCCCUUACAUUUUCAGAACACUGUUUCGGUCUUACCAGUGUUUUCUGGACCUUCCUGUCCAGCUGAAUUGCUCAGAACAAGCAAAUAGUUAGGUCGGAGCCACAUUCCAGGCCAUUUAAGUCAGAAUCUCCAGGGGCUGGGUCCUGCCUGGCCUGGGAAGAGAAACUUCCCUGACUAUUCUGAUGUGCUGAGAGAGAAGCAAGCUGAAUCCAACCCACGGAGGUUAGUUCAUGCAUGUGAGUCUCCAGGAGGGUUUGUCCCCCACAUGAGCUGUGGGUGUCAGCUUACAUUACCUUGGCUAUUUUCCUCUCUACAAAUGAUUUGUUUUCACUGAAAAAGUCUCAGAAAAUAUGGAGCCAGAAAAAUUAGUAACCAUUCUGAGGGGCAGUUUAACCCUUUGGUGUAUAUUUUAAUGAAUGUUUUAUUUUGUAUGUACAUAUGUUAAGAAUAUCUUUUAAAAAUUUUAAUUUUAUGUGUAUAAGUGUUUACCCAGAUAUAUGUAUAUAUACCACAUGAGUUCAGGAGCCGGAGGAGGCCAAUAGAGGGCAAUGAAUCCCCCAGAACUGGAGGUACAGGUAGUUGUAAGCCAUCAUGCAUGUCUGGGAACUGAACCCAGGUCCUCUUGGAGAACAAGAGCCCUUACCUGUUGAACCAUUGCUUCGGUUCCCUUUUGCUUAUUUAAACUUGUAAAAUAACGUAUUGAUUAUGUGUGGUGGGGGUGAGACAGGGGAGAGUGUAUGUGUUAUGUUGAACAUGUGGUCAGAGGAAUAAAUUGUGGAAGUCAGUUUUCUCCUUUGCCGCUAAUAUAGGACCCAGGAAUCAAAGUCAGGUCAUCAGGCUUGGUGGGAAAAUUCCUUUAUCUGCUGAGCUAUCUCACUAAUCUAUUUACAACUUAGUAUCUCUUCUAAUACCAUGAAUCCUUUUCUAUGUAAGUACACAUUGAAUGCAGUCAUUUUUUGUUGUUGUUCAUUUUUUAAUUAAUUUUUUACAUUUCAAUUCCAGUUCCCCUUCUUUGCCUCCCAAACCCUCCACCUCCCCUCCUCCCAUCUGCUCCAUGGAGAGAGUAAGGCCUCCCCUAGGAAGUCUACUAAGUCUGUCCCAUCAUCUAGUUGAGGCAGGACCAAGGCACCUCUCCACUCCCACACCCCUGUGUCUAGGCUGAGCAAGGUAUCUCUCCAUAUAGAAUGGGCUCCACUAAGUCAGUUUGUGCAUUAGAGUUAGAUCUUGGACCCACUGACAGUGGCCUCAUAUAUUGUCUCAGUCACACCAUUGCCACCUAUACUAAGGGAGUCUAGUUUGGUCUUAUGCAGGUUCCCCAUUUGUCAGACCUGACUCAGUAAUCUCUCGGUAGCUCAGAUCAGCUGAUUCUGUGGGGUUCCCUGUUGUUCCCUUUGUUCAUACUAUUGCUCCUCCCUCACCUUGAUUGUACUCCAGGAGCUUGGACCAUUGGUUAGUUGUAGAUUUCUGCAUCUGCUUCCAUCUGUUUCUGGAGGAGGGUUCUAGCUUCUCUGGGGUUAUGGAUUGUAGGCUGGGUAUCUUUUGCUUUAUGUCUGGUAUCCAUUUAUGUGUGAGUACAUACUAUAUUUGUCUUUCUGGUUUUGGGUUACCUCACUUAGGAUGUUUUUUUGUUUUUCUAAUUUUGUCCAUUUGCCUGAGAAUUUUAGAAUGUCAUUGUUUCUUACCAUUGUGUAAACAUAUGACAGUUUCUUUAUCCAUUCUUCAGUUAAGGGGCAUCUAGGCUGUUUCCAAGAUCUGGCUACUACAAAUAGUGUUGAUAUGAACAUUGCUGAGCAAAUGUCCUUGUGGUGUGAAUGUGCCUCCUUUGGGUAUAUGCCCCACAGUGGUAUUGCAGGGUCUUGAGGUAGGUUGAUUCCUACUUUUCUGAGAAAUCGCCAUACUGAUUUUCACAGUGGCUUUACAAGUUUGCAUUCCCACCAGCAAUGAAGGAGUGUUCCCCUUUCUCCACUUCCUCUCCAGCAUAAGCUGUCAUUGGUGUUUUUUUGUUUAGCCAUUCUGAUUGGUGUAAGAUAUGGUUUUGAUUUGCAUUUCCCUGAUGACUAAGGAUGUUGAGCAUUUUCUUAAGUGUCUUUCAAAUGCACUCAUCUUAACUGAUGACAUAGUCUAGUUCAGUCUUCCAACUAAUGGCUUUUGGCUACUCUUUUACCAGGGGACUGGCUUGAUCUUUGCUCUGGGUUCAAUUGCCAAGUCAUCUUCCAAUAUGCUUACAUAUCUCAAUUGAUUAGCUCAAAGGGUGCCUUUAAAGCUGGGCAUGGUGGUAUUAAAGCUGGGCAUGGUGGUAUUAAAGCUGGGCAUGGUGGUAUGUUCUUAUAAUCCAUAGUGAAUUUGAGGCCAUCCUGGGAUACAUGAGACCCUGUCUCAAAAAACCAAAACCAAAACCAAGAACAAAAUGAGUUAUUUCUCCCCUCUGACUGCUGAAGCCUAAUAUUCUACCAACACUUCUCUUCUAUGUUUGCUUUAUUUUUUGUUAAAAACACCUAUUUUCCCUUUAAUCCAAGAAUAACUAUUAUUCCAAUCUAUUUGCAAGAUUAGUUGGUUCAAGCUCCACAUUGCUCAAAAUCUAUCUACAUCUUUCUAUUGCCUGAUCAAAUUUCCUUCACCUUUCAUGUGAGGUACUUUUGACUCUAACACCUCUGGGUUUUUGGUUUGUUUUUUUUUUUUUUAAUUUCAGAAGGAUCUCCCUCAGGCGUAAGUCAAAUGAAAGUACUUCCAUAAGUCCUGUAAACCUUGUAGACUUUUUCCAUUCUCCACUCUACAUUGGUGAUACAAGUCCAGACCACGAGAAAGUCCUUCAAUUUAGGAGUCUUGUAUUUUUGUUUCAAGGAUUCCUUCUUGGGGAGAUGUGAACAAUCUCUACCCACCCUCUCAUGAGGUCUCAAAGACAGACAAAUCAAAGUGUGAUUCCACCAAAAUUCACUCUGAGAACCAGUAAGUUUACUGGCCUUACAAAGCAGCGGGGGCAGGGUUGCUGAUGGGAGCAUGGGUGAAUCUGAGGCAGCUGCACUUCUCCCAGAGUGGAUGAUGGCUUCCCCUUGGCUUCAUAGAUGGAGCACCACCCCCCACUCCCCCACCCCCUUCCAUUAACUUUCCUCAGCAUUUAUGCUGCAGCACCUCUGGAGACCCAGAGGCCAUAGUGCAAUCAGGGAAGAAUUAUAUACAAUUAUAGCUGGGGCAGGGGAGUGGCUGCAAACUCAGAUGAGGGUCCAGUGACCCUCUCUACCCUCUCAUUCUCUGAGGAAAGUCCACAGGCUCAUUUUGAAGGCUUCUUGCAAACAGGCACAACUGAUCUGAUGAAAAUGAUGGCUAUUUUGUUCAUUCUGCAGCAACUCUAUCAUGAAACAGUGGCAGAUUAAUUGGUUAGCUUGCAGGUAGGGUAAAAUCUCAGAGUGAGGUCCCAAUAAAAGGGUAUAUUCUAUUAUAUAAGCUUGCUACUAGGUAUAGUCUAUUGUGUUUCAUGAGUAUGAACUUGUCCAGGUUGCUCAUAGAACAAGCAGGUCUUACCACCCCCCCUUUACACUUACUUAUUUAGUGUAUAUGUAUGUGGACUUACAUGUGUGGGCUCAUGUGUAGUCAGAUGGCAACUUGCAGGAAUUGGUUCUGUCCUUAUACCAUGUGGGUUCUGGAGAUUGGAUUUAGGUCGUUAGGCUUGGUGGCAAGUUCCUUUAUUGGCUGAGCCGUGUCAUUAGCUCCAUGGUCUUUUAAUAUUAUAAAUUGUCAGCUGGGUGGUGGUAGGAUGUAGGACACUCCUUUAAUCCCAGCACUCAGGAGGCAGAGGCAGGCAGCUCUCUUAGUUCAAGGCCAACCUGAUCUACAGAGUAAAUUCCAGGACAGCCAGGGCUACACAGAGAAACCCUGUCUCGAAACUAGCUAACUAACUAACUAAGUAGUUUUGUUCUUAGUCACAGCAUUUAAUGAAUAUCUGUGGAAAGGUGGGACACACAAGGAAUAUAACUGAAAUGUGUAUACAAAGAUAUGUGGUAAUUCCUCAAAUUAGCUUUGAGAUGCUCUCUCUAGUUCUGAAAGUUACAUUUACCUGAUUAUGGGCUUCACAAGAGUCAACAUAUCUUUCUGAAGCAUCCAGUGCUAGAAAAAAGAUGUAGUACAAACCACUCUGAAUUACCUUCCUAUGUAAGAAUUUCUAGGAGUAAAAGCCAUAUACAUCUGUGCUAUCCUGUGUAUGGAGAAAUGCCUACAAAGAGCAUCUGGAAAGUUUCUUUCUAAUCUCAUCAUCUUUGCAAAAACUCCUGAUGGGUGAGUGUAGUGGUCCGUGUCACGCUUAGAAGACACUGUAUCGUUCUGGUUCUCACCUGUGCCCGGCCCUGACCUCUGGCUGUUACAGUCUAAAACUCCCUUUUGAAAAGAGAAAUCAGUAUCGUUUUUCUAAGAACGUGGGAGUCAUCCUUUUCUUCAUCCUGAAUCCUCAGCUGUGGGUUGCUCCCCUCUCCUGUACAAUUGAUCGGGUUUGUCUGCACUGCAAAUGUACUGAGGUUCAGGAGUAAGGUGAGGCCAAGGACAAGUGAGUGUGAGUCACCAGGCUGGGAAAAGGAAGCAAACUGGACUCUGCUCUUUCCACAAGGUAUCUCAAGGCCUGUGUGAAUGGAGAAAAGCGGAAACUCUCAGUAUGACUCAGCUGCAGCAGGCUUUGGGAGUGGACAUCAAAUGAUAACUACAAAAAAGCAAGAAACAAGCACAAAAGCCUAUCAGGAAACCCCCCAAAGAAGUGAAGUCUUGGGGGCUGGUGAGAUGUCUCAGCAGGUAAAAAGUGCUUGCACGCAAGCCUGAUGGCCUGAGUUCCGACCCUGGAACCUGCAUUUCAAAGUCAGACUCUGUGACACGUAGCUGUCCUCCUAUUGGAGAUGGGGUGUGGAAGCAGGAGAAUCGCCCAGAAGCUCUUGGGCCUGGUAGCUGGGAGUAUGCAGCCCAGUGGGAGAAAUGAGAGAACCUCUGCCCUCCACACACAUGCUGUGUGGUAUGUGUGCAUGCACUUUUAGGUUUGAAGGAUUUUGAAAUAUGGUGGAUUUGCAGAAAUUCCCAUUUGAGACCUCAGUCUGCAUAAACACAAGUCACCUGGGGGUCAAUGCAGCUGGACCUUCAUCCCCUUCCUUCAUAUCAGAGGCAAGUCUGUUUUCAAGAACACAGUGUGACUGGUUUACAAGCGGCCCGUGUCCCAUCAAAUGCAGUCAGUGUGGGCACUCCCAACUGCAUUUCAUUAAUGCCUCCAAAGACAUCGCAAAGGGUACAGCCUUCAUGCAAGGGAAGAUCAAAAUGCCGAGCAAGCAUUUUAUUCUUCUCUGAGUUACAGAUACCUUCUGACCCCAGGCAAACGCGCAGUGAGGCCCCACCCAUAAUUACUAAAUUACAACCCACUUGCCCUGUUUUAUUUUGCUGUAGUCCAAAGAGAACUUACGGUGAUCUUGAGAAGUACAAAUAGAACGAUCCGUCUAUGUGUGGGCUGAAACUUCUACAGUGUGGUUAUUCCUAUGACGAUGUCUCCAGGACAACAGACAGGGAAAGAUCUGCAGCCAUUUAUCAGAAGGGAAACAAUUUUCUUUUGGGCAAUAGUAUUUCCAUUUUACAAUGGGAAAAUCAUCCUGAGAGGUUAAAUAUCUUGCCUGAAAUCGCCCAGCGACUAGCCAACAGGGGCAGGAUUUAAACACAGGUCUGGACAGGAAAGUCAUGUUUGUUCUCACCUUGCUCUGGGCCCUUCACUGUGCCCCAGUGCUGACUGUGGCAAGUCCUUCUGCUUUGUUCAUCAGAGCUCAGAUUCAGGUUUUGAUUUCCUAAUAGAUACUACUGUGAGGUAGUGCAAAUGGCAGACUAGGCAACUCGUAGUAUAGUUAGUUAGCUGGAAAUUUCUAUCUGCAGUGGGAAACAAGGGCUGACUGGAUGUCAUGGACCUGCCACUCUGUCAGUCACGUGUCUAAGUGUAUUAGAAGGAGCUGGUGUAUAUUUCUAGAAGCCUCAUGUCAGAAGGUGAGGCUGGGCCAAGGAGACCUGCACGCUGCUUCACCAGGGUCUCUCUAAAUACCGGUGGCCCCAGGCUCAGCCCUGUACCCUCUUUUGGCUGACAUCUAUGUUGUUGCUUGUUCUAAUGUUUGAAUCUUCCAAAUUUUAUAUCCAUCUUUUAUUUCUCCUUCAAGAAUUUGGCCUCAAGCCUCUACACACCCACUCAGCAUCUCUGUUUAGUCCCACAAGCAAAGUGGUGGAUUUGGCUCCUUAGCGUCCUCUUGUCUUCCUCUUCCAGGCUUUGCACAGGGCUCCACACCCCACUUGCUUCCUGCACACAGAGAUGGGACAGUCUCCUACAGUCCACUUGUGAAGAAGCAGAAGAAUUCUUUAAAAUCUGAAGGGGGGGCUUUAGAAAGUUGGCUCAGUUGUUAAGAGUCCUGGGGGCUCUUGCAGAAGAUGGGGUUCAGUUCCCCACACUCACAUGGUGGCUCACAACCACCUGUAACUCCAGGUCCAGGGGAUCUGCUGUCCUCUUUUGACCUCUGAGGGCACUAGGCACACAUUUGGUGUACACACACACACACACACACACACACACACACACACACACACACAGGCAAAACACUCAUAUAUGUAAAAUAGAAUAAAUAAAUCUUAAGAAAUUAAAAUUUUAGAAAGUAAUACAGAUUGGGAACAAAGAUAUAAAACUGUCCUUAUUUGUAGGUGAUGUGUUUUUCUAUGUAAAAAACAACAACAAAAAAAACCCAAGGUAUCUAAAAAAACAAAACAAAAACAAAAACCUUCUGGAACUAGUCAGUGUUUUGGGUGAGGAAGAGUGUAAGAAAACUUGAAAUCUAUAUGCCAGUAACAAACACAAGGAAAAUAAAAUGAAAAACACAAUACUAUUUACAAACCACAUUAAAAAUUACCUAGGUAGAAAUCUAGAGUGUGCACAGGAUCUCUUCGUUGAAAUUUACAACCACAUUAAAAAAAAAAAUACAUAUGUCAGCUGGUGGUGAUGAACGCCUUUAAUCUCAGCACUUGGGAGGCAGAGGCAGGUGGAUCCCUGUGAGUUCAAGGCCAGCCUGGUCUACAGAGUGAGUUCUGGGACAGCUAGGGCUGUUACACAGACAAACCUUGUCUCGAAAAUAAUAAUAAUAAUAAUAAUAAUAAUAAUAAUAAUAAUAAUAAUAAAUAAAUAAAUCUAGAAUGUGCACAGGAACCCUCUGUUGAAAACAGCAAAAUACCAGUACAAGAAAUCAGACCUAAACAAUGGAAAGUGAAGAAAUCAGACCUAAACAAUGGAAAGUGAAGAAAUCAGACCUAAACAAUGGAAAGUGAAGAAAUCAGAUCUAAACAAUGGAAAGUCAAGCUGCACAAAGUAAGGAUGUCAGUUCUGUACAAACAGAUCUAUAGAUGGGCCAUCACCACACAUGCCUCCCCCCCCCCCUUACUGGCUACAUAAAUUAACCCAUUCAUUGCCGGCUAGGGAUGACUCAAAUGGUUGUUUCUACUGGUCUUUCAAUUCUGUCUUCUGGCGGCGGACUUGGUUGUGACAGAAGAAAUGAUACUGCAGGUCCAGGCCCCUACGAGCCACUGCUUUUGUGAGGAGAUCACAGUGCCAGAUGCCAAUGGCCCAUAUCCUCAGCUUGGUCUUGCUGUAGAAGGAGCAAGUAUAUAUGAGGUGUAGCUGGUUUCCACAGAGAAGCCCUGUAGCAGACCUGGUGAUCAGUAGGGUGUCAACUUCUUGGUGCACUUAGCCAGAUCACCGUGACCUGGGCUUGAGCCCAGAGAGAGUUCCUUUUAUCUCAAAUAGCCAAGGGCUCACCACAUGUGAGGAACUCUGGAGACCGGAGAAUGAGAUGGCACACUACCCAGGCAGGUCAUGGCCCAGGAAAGAAAGAAUCAGAGUCCCUCUCCCAGGGCCUUGCAUCUCUCUCUGGAGAAGAACCCCUUUGCAAGGUGGCUGGAGUGUGGUGCUGUGAGGACAUCUGUAGAGGAGGUUAGGAUCAGAUUCCACCCCACUCCUACAAGCCCUGGUUUAGUUCCUAGGUGCCCUAGUUUCUGAAGCCCCGCCCCAUCCUUCUGCUGCCAGCAAAAGCAACUCUGGCUACUUUUGAUUCCACAAUGGUGGCUGACUGCUGACCUAGCCAUUUCUUUUUAUGACCUCUCCGAUGUUUGGGGGCCAUCUAUCAUUUUCGUUGCCACCCUGUUGCCCCAAUAUCUACUUGAUAGGGUGGCAUGGCUGUCCUUUGCCUAUUUUAAAGGUUAUUCCUAAACAAAAAAAAAAAAAAAAAUCAACAUCUUAGCUAAGUAGGUUUUCCUUUCCAGAGAGUGCAGCAAGUGACAUCCACAGGGCUUUAAAAAGAUGGGUGUACUUUCCUUUUUUCUUCAAAGACACUUUAAACUCUUUGGUCAACAUUUUCAUCAUUUCCUUUCAGAUACCCAGGGUCAGUGGCUAUUUUUAGCCAUUGUUCUCCCCAGUGGGGUUAUCCUCAGAGAAUCCUUACUGCCCGGGCUCCCCUUUCAUAAGUUUCUCCGGGGUAUCUGCAUCUCCUCCCCCUGCCUCCCCCUUUCAGGUAGGUUGAAUCAUUUGCUGUUGCUUGUCUAGCUGUUUUUCAUUAACUGAGAAAACCGACUGGAGGGAUACAGUCGCUUUGAAAGAGUCAGAUAUUUACCAGAUGUCCUGGGGAGACACCGGUGCAUUUGAAAGUAGUGCUUUGUCAAACCCUGGGGGAAGUGUUAGGAAUCUCCAGGUGCCCAAGAACAGAAUAGACUGGGAAAGAGAAGAGCAGGAAUUUACAGGUUGAUCAUGGUUUUUGAGAAGGGGAAGAAUAGAAGAAAAGGGACAUGUAAGAGGGAAUGGCUGCCAAGCGAGCAGGUGCCUGGAGUCUUUGGUGAGGUGAGCCUAUAUUAAAUCACUGUUCGUGUAAUGGGGUGAGACAUCUGGCAAAAGCAAUUUAAGCAACAAAAGAUUUAUUUUGGCUCACAGUUUGAGGAGAACAGUCCAUCGUCAUAUGACAACAGGAACAUGAGGCAACUGGUGACAGUGGCCUCCGCCCCUGCCCCAUGGCCUCCACUCCUGGCUGUGACCGGCAGACAGAGCUUUAUAGAAAGGUCUCAUGGAAGCAGAUGCUGAAUGCUCAGCCCGCAUCCCCUCAAGACCGGAGAGGGUGAGUGUGCAGCCUCAUCUCCUUGCCUGUGUCCACGACACACUGGUGAGACUGAAAGUGUCCCCAGAACUCCCCCAAGGAGUUGAUUCCCUGGUACCCUGGGAGGGGGCAUUGUCUGAUACUGUUUACAGUCUGGGUCCCUCUCACUCCUCUGUCCACUGUUGAUGAACACUUUGUUGUGGAUCCUGAGAGGACAUUCAGGCUGAGGCAGCCUGUUUUCUCUUUAUUUACUCACCGUCCAGUUAGAAGCUCAGCAAUUCCACUCCACACUAGGGAGCCACAUUAGCUGGGUUAUUAAUUUGAUUCCUCAACAGAACCUCAAAUAACUUGGUUUAUCAUGACGAGGGAUUCUUUCUGGUCCUGAGACAAUUUGGGACCCCAUGAUGUUGAGACCUGGGUUGAGAGGUCCUCCAUUCCUCAGGGUUGCUGGCUUUCAUCUCCACGGUAGGGGCAGCUCCCUUCACCUUUAACCGGACAGGAGGAAGGCAGAAAGUUGCUGUCUUCACAGGUGCAUGGCCAUGCCUCACAGGAUGGGAUGCUAACUGAGUGAGCAAAUCUAGUCUAUAACCUUGGGCUCUGACAUUGCUGGGUAAGAUGGAGAAGGGGCAGUCCCUUGGAGUACCACACUGUGUUUCCUUCCUCUAGGGAGAGGUUGGCUCAGCAUCUACAUGUCCUUGCUUCAUUUCCCUUUCCCUCUCCCCAUGCAGUUCCAAAUACGGAAAUACAAGUCUUCCAGGGAGAGCUGAUCUUCUAAGCUGACUUUCUAGAAAUGGGAAGAAUUUACUCCGUUUGUCACUCACCUCAAGGCAUGCCAUUUACCUUCUAAACUGAGAAGUGGCACCCUGGUGCAGUGAUCUUAGGUAGGGUGACACAGAAGUCUGGGUUUGGGUUUUUUCUGUUUUUGUUUUUUAAUUCUUGCAGGAUGAGAAAGCAGUGAGGGGUGGAAGAAACAGGAAAAGAGGGAGGGAGACUCAGGGAGACUCAGAAGGGGAGAUCGGGACCAGUGAAAUGGCUCAGUGGGCAAAGGCAAUUGUUGCUGCCAAGCCCAAAGACCUAAGUUUGAUCCCUGGGACCCACAUGGUAGGAGAGAAUCAACUCUUGUAAGUUGUCCUCUGACCUCAACAUGCGUAUUAUGCUCC